AUUGAACGCUGGCGGUAUGCUUAACACAUGCAAGUCGAACGGAAACGAUGGGAGCUUGCUCCCAGGCGUCGAGUGGCGGACGGGUGAGUAAUACUUAGGAAUCUACCCAGUAGCGGGGGACAACUCGGGGAAACUCGAGCUAAUACCGCAUACGCCCUACGGGGGAAAGCAGGGGAUCUUCGGACCUUGCACUAUUGGAUGAGCCUAAGUCGGAUUAGCUUGUUGGUGAGGUAAAGGCUCACCAAGGCGACGAUCCGUAGCUGGUCUGAGAGGACGAUCAGCCACACUGGGACUGAGACACGGCCCAGACUCCUACGGGAGGCAGCAGUGGGGAAUAUUGGACAAUGGGGGCAACCCUGAUCCAGCAAUGCCGCGUGUGUGAAGAAGGCCUGCGGGUUGUAAAGCACUUUCAGUAGUGAAGAAAAGCUUAGGGAUAAUACCCCUGAGUCUUGACGUUACCUACAGAAAAAGCUCCGGCUAACUCCGUGCCAGCAGCCGCGGUAAUACGGAGGGAGCGAGCGUUAAUCGGAAUUACUGGGCGUAAAGCGCGCGUAGGCGGCUUUGUAAGUCGGAUGUGAAAGCCCUGGGCUUAACCUGGGAAUGGCAUUCGAUACUG
rnacentral:rRNA from 1 species